AUUAAACCUUAUUAUACUAGUCUACAUCUUUUCUUAUUAACUUAGAAUUAGAGGAAUAGUUUUCUCAGUUCAGAAAAACAUGCAAAGCUUUUGGGUUAUGAGCUGAAAGUAAGCUAGGGGGACUGAGCUACUGCAGCUAGCUAGCUUCAUAACAUAUUAAAUAAAAAACAGUAUUGUAAUUUUACUAGCAUACUAGCAAGCAGUUGUUGCUAGCUGUUAGCAGACCAGGCUAACUGUUGCCAAAACUUUUCUGUCUUUAUGCUUAGCUAAACUAAUUAGCUGCUGGCUGUAGCCUAAUAGCUAGCUUGAAAACAUGACAGAAAUAUCAGUCUUCUCAAACACUGUUGGUCUGAGAACAACAGAAGAACAUGCCAACAGAAAGAAACUAAGAGACAAAAGGAGCAAAUUUGCUUAACAAUAUAACAUUUGUGAGCUUUAGAGGUUUUAGCUGGCAUGUUUUCCAGCCCUUGGUAUGUAGGGCUACAUCUUUUGAACUGUUUCCAGUGCUUGUCCAGCUAAGACAACCAGCUGCCUUACAUUUAGCUGACAGACAUGAUGCUGCAGACACUGUUUACGGGACACAGUGCUGGUGGACUCAGCUCCCCUAGCCUCAACCUUGAUGCUGACACAGUACUCCUUCCCCCAGUGCAGAGAGGUAAAAGUUGUACUCCUCUCUUCCUCAUCCACAUCAUCUUGCAGGGUCCUUAUGAUCUGUGAACUGCUGCUGCAAAAGGAAAGAGGAAGCCUUCAGGGAUUCCCCAGUGUUUUUACUUUCAUUGUCAGCUGCAGGAAGAUAAAAAAGGGACUUAAGAGGAAAGCCGUGUCUUUGCAUCAGAUUUUGAUGCAAGAUUUUGUGCCAGAAAAACCUCAUUUGGGGUUGACUGCCAGUAGUUAAUGCAAAGAUCACAUGUCAAGAUGGCAACGUGAGGGAUACAGGCAGGAGGUUGAGAGUUUAAAUAGCAAAAAAAAACAGAAAUCAACGGUGAAAAGAAAGAUAACUUGUUUGAUAACACACGGGAACUUCUGGUUUGUGUUGAAUUUGGUGCCCCCUGUGGGCAAAAUGAUGCUUUUAAUCUCUUUGCUGAUUUGUCCUAUGCAUGGCAAGUCAUGUUUUCUGACAAAAAGACUCAUCCUGCCAUCUUUUAUUACUCAAAUGUAUCUUUGAUGGUUCAUUUUGCUGUGGUAAUGAUAAAAAAAGGCUAUUUCAGUAGUUUUCAGUGUGUUUCAGAACCAGGUAAAAGCUCCCCAGAGGAUCUUGAGCUGCAUCAGAGACAAAAGAUUGUAUGACUAUGUAUGAGUAAUACAGAAUUAAGAUAUAUUUUUGUGCAUUAAAAUGUCUAACAAAUAUGUUGUACUCUUAUGUUGACUUAGGUUGCGUUACCAUAGCAGUGACCUUUUCAAAAAGUCAGUUGGGGGGAUCAUCAGUCUCUAUCUGUGGCCUUUUGAAACCACAGUGACCAUGGAGCCAUAUCAAACCACUUCAUCUCAGUCAUGUACACACCACAUCAUCACUUGCUAACCUAUCGCUUUCCUGAUGAAGUUUCAAAAGAAAUGUGUUUUUUUUUUUAUU